ensembl:snRNA U7 U7 small nuclear RNA
CAGAUUACAGGUCUUUUAGUAUUUGUCUAGUAGGCUUUCUGCAGUAAGUGGAGAGCCCCA